rnacentral:rRNA from 1 species
AACGAACGUUCGCGGCGCGCCUAACACAUGCAAGUCGAGCGAGAAAGGGUUUCGGCCCCGGUACAGCGGCGCACGGGUGAGUAACACGUAGGCAAUCUGCCCCUGAGUGGGGGAUAACCUUCCGAAAGGAGGGCUAAUACCGCAUGAGACCACGACCCCGCGAGGGGAUGAGGUCAAAGCCGGCCACUUCACGAAAGCUGGCGCUUGGGGAUGAGGCUGCGGCCCAUCAGCUAGUUGGUAGGGUAAUGGCCUACCAAGGCGAAGACGGGUAGCUGGUCUGAGAGGAUGAUCAGCCACACUGGAACUGAGACACGGUCCAGACUCCUACGGGAGGCAGCAGUGGGGAAUCUUGCGCAAUGGGCGAAAGCCUGACGCAGCGACGCCGCGUGAGUGAUGAAGGCCUUCGGGUUGUAAAGCUCUGUGGAGGGAGACGAAUAAGGCAUGGCUAACAUCCAUGUUGAUGACGGUAUCCCUUUAGCAAGCACCGGCUAACUCUGUGCCAGCCGCCGCGGUAACAC